GGUCGCAAGGUAUGUAUGACAUUUUGACACAGAAUAUUUUCCUCAUUUGAAGGGGGAUUAAGUGAUUGCUUCUUUUUAAGGAUAAAUGUUUUCAACUGUCAUUUUAUCUUCGAAAAGUAAUGUAAUCUCAUAUAAGACUUAAGAUAUAAUCCUUUUAAAUAAUUUUGUCAUGUGUUAAUAAAGCUCAUAAUUACAGUCACUUCCUUGCCUAAUAUUAAC
rnacentral:lncRNA from 1 species